AUUGCACGCUGGCGGCAGGCUUAACACAUGCAAGUCGAACGAGUGGCGGACGGGUGAGUAAUGCUUGGGAAUCUAGCUUAUGGAGGGGGAUAACUACGGGAAACUGUAGCUAAUACCGCGUACCAUAGGAUGAGCCCAAGUGGGAUUAGCUAGGAGGUGGGGUAAAGGCUCACCUAGGCGACGAUCUCUAGCUGGUCUGUGAGGAUGAUCAGCCCCACUGGUCCUGAGACACGGCCCAGACUCCUACGUGAGGCAGCAGUGGGGAAUAUUGCACAAUGGGCGCAAGCCUGAUGCAGCCAUGCCGCGUGUAUGAAGAAGGCCUUAGGUUUGUAAAGUACUUUCAGCGGGGAGGCGUUACCCGCAGAAGAAGCACCGGCUAACCCCGUGCCAGCAGCCGCGGUAAUAC
rnacentral:rRNA from 1 species